rnacentral:lncRNA from 1 species
AUGAUAAAUACAAUAAAAAUACACAGUCUUCUUGCCAGAAUGUGUAUUUUUUUAUUUCAUUCUCUCUGUUUUCUGAUGUUAUUUUUUCAUGGCCAUUUACUAAAUAUAUAUACAUUCUUCCUACAUACUUCAGCAUCCUGCUUCAAGACUUCUUGUGGCUUGCCCAGAAUUACAGAACUAAUUAAUAGGCCAGUCCUGAGGGAGAAGACAGAGCUGAAGGUGGCCCAAAGGAUGAGAUCGCCCUGCUGGCCCCGUAAGGGCAGGGCAAUGCUUGGAGAUGCGUGCAGCUCAGGGGAUGGCAAUCUGCUGACCUGGACAGGGACCAAGCGUAUGUGUCCCGGCGCUUCCAGGAUCUCAGCAGAGUGA